CUACGGGUUGCUCCAGGGGGGUAUAAUUUACAAUGCACGCAAGUGUGAUAAUUUGAGCCAGAGUGCGUUUCUUUUGAAAUGCUUUUAUGGAAUUUAAAAUGUUCCACGAAUAAGGACUGGGUAAGACUAGUGCCAGCCGCCGCGGUAAUACUAGCGGUCCAAGUCGCAACCAUUUUUAUUGGGUCUAAAACAUCCGUAGCUUGUUUAGCAAGUUCUUUGUGAAAUCCUGUUCCUCAAGUUCAGGGCAUGCAGAGAGUACUACUAAACUAGAGACUGGAGGACGUAACGAGUAUGUUCAAAGUAGCGGUAGAAUGUUUUAAUCUUGAGCAGACUAACAAUAGCGAAGGCACGUUACGAGGACAGUUCUGACAGUAAGGGAUGAAGGCUAGGGGCGCAAAACGGAUUAGAUACCCCUGUAGUC
rnacentral:rRNA from 1 species